rnacentral:rRNA from 1 species
AUUGGACGCUGGCGGCAGGCCUAACACAUGCAAGUCGAGCGGAUGAAGGGAGCUUGCUCCUGGAUUCAGCGGCGGACGGGUGAGUAAUGCCUAGGAAUCUGCCUGGUAGUGGGGGAUAACGUCCGGAAACGGGCGCUAAUACCGCAUACGUCCUGAGGGAGAAAGUGGGGGAUCUUCGGACCUCACGCUAUCAGAUGAGCCUAGGUCGGAUUAGCUAGUUGGUGGGGUAAAGGCCUACCAAGGCGACGAUCCGUAACUGGUCUGAGAGGAUGAUCAGUCACACUGGAACUGAGACACGGUCCAGACUCCUACGGGAGGCAGCAGUGGGGAAUAUUGGACAAUGGGCGAAAGCCUGAUCCAGCCAUGCCGCGUGUGUGAAGAAGGUCUUCGGAUUGUAAAGCACUUUAAGUUGGGAGGAAGGGCAGUAAGUUAAUACCUUGCUGUUUUGACGUUACCAACAGAAUAAGCACCGGCUAACUUCGU